GAGUUUGAUCGUGGCUCAGAUUGAACGCUGGCGGAAUGCUUUACACAUGCAAGUCGAGCGGCAGCGCGGGGCAACCUGGCGGCGAGCGGCGAACGGGUGAGUAAUGCAUCGGAACAUGUCCAUGUCGUGGGGGAUAGCCCGGCGAAAGCCGGAUUAAUACCGCAUACGCCCGAGAGGGGAAAGUGGGGGACCGCAAGGCCUCACGCGAUUGGGUUGGCCGAUGUCCGAUUAGCUAGUUGGUGGGGUAAAGGCCUACCAAGGCGAUGAUCGGUAGCUGGUCUGAGAGGAUGAUCAGCCACACUGGGACUGAGACACGGCCCAGACUCCUACGGGAGGCAGCAGUGGGGAAUUUUGGACAAUGGGGGCAACCCUGAUCCAGCCAUUCCGCGUGAGUGAAGAAGGCCUU
rnacentral:rRNA from 1 species